UUAAAGUCUAACCUGCCCACUGAAAAUUUUAAAUGGCCGCAGUAUUUUAACUGUGCAAAGGUAGCAUAAUCAUUAGUCUUUUAAUUGAAGGCUGGAAUGAAUGGUUGGACGAAAUAUUAACUGUUUCAUUUAAAUUUUAAAUAGAAUUUUAUUUUUUAGUUAAAAAGCUAAAAUAAAUUUAAAAGACGAGAAGACCCUAUAAAUCUUUAUAUUUUGUUUAUUUUAGUUAUAAAGAUUAUUUUUGCUAUAAUAAAUUAAAAUAUUUUAUUGGGGUGAUAUUAAAAUUUAAAAAACUUUUAAUUUUAAAAUCCAUUAAUUUAUGAAUAAUUGAUCCAUUAAUAUUGAUUAAAAAUUUAAGUUACUUUAGGGAUAACAGCGUAAUUUUUUUGGAGAGUUCAUAUCGAUAAAAAAGAUUGCGACCUCGAUGUUGGAUUAAGAUAUAAUUUUGGGUGUAGCCGUUCAAAUUUUAAGUCUGUUCGACUUUUAAAUUCUUACAUGAUCUGAGUUCAAACCGGUGUAAGCCAGGUUGGUUUCUAUCUUUAAAAAAUUAUAGUAUUUUAGUACGAAAGGACCAAAUAUUAAAAUAAUUUUAUUUUAAAUAAGAAUAUUAUUAAUUUAA
rnacentral:rRNA from 1 species